UACGUAGGGUGCAAGCGUUAAUCGGAAUUACUGGGCGUAAAGCGUACGCAGGCGGUUAUAUAAGACAGAUGUGAAAUCCCCGGGCUCAACCUGGGAACUGCAUUUGUGACUGUAUAGCUAGAGUACGGUAGAGGGGGAUGGAAUUCCGCGUGUAGCAGUGAAAUGCGUAGAUAUGCGGAGGAACACCGAUGGCGAAGGCAAUCCCCUGGACCUGUACUGACGCUCAUGCACGAAAGCGUGGGGAGCAAACAGG
rnacentral:rRNA from 1 species